CCUGCGCUCGGAACCCUAACGUGGCUCUUCAGCUCACAGAAUCACACAUCUUCCUCCCGGAGGAGGUCUCCGCAUAGGGUCCACCCACCAAGACGCCCAUUUCACAGACGAAGCAAACACUGGUCCUGGGCGGCUCAAAGUGUCCCUUCUGCCUCCUGCCUCGCCAGACUGGCUCACUGCCGCCUCCGCAGCGCGCCAACCGCGGCACACAACCGGCCUCCAGCCAAUAUAUCCAGAAAGACGGAAGAGGUCUUAGAGAGGAGAAUCCCAAGCCCACGCCUUUUAUAAACAGGGAAACUGAGGCCGGGGAAGCAGAGUUCCACCAGCUUGUACCCGAAGACGUACUCGAGGCGCUCGGCAGCCAUUUUGAGGAGGUCCAGGAAGAUGUCCCUGUAGUCCCCGAUGACGUGCUUCAGGAUGUCAGCGCGCCUGAUCGGGAUCUUCUUCUGGUCUUUAAUCAGCAAGAACUGCACCAGCUCGGCCACCUUCAGCUCCAACUGCUGCUGGGACCUGGGCCACACCUCAGGGAAAGCCUCGGCCCCGCGGCUGCCCUGUGACGACGUGUCCGGGGCCUUCUGGAAGCCCGCGGCCCCGCGGGAGGUGCUCGGGGCCUCCUGGAAGCCCGCGGCCCCGCGGGAGGUGCUCGGGGCCUUCUCCGAGGCGGUGGAGCCGCGGCCCCACUCCUUCUCCCUCUUGAUCUUGCUGCUAGGGCGGUCCUGGCUUCUCGGUUUCUGGAACAUGUUCUCGGAGGCGGCAGGAACCGUAAAGGGUGGCGGCAGAUGAAGUGCGGCGGCGUCAGGCGGGAAGGCUCCCUGGGUGCCACGUGGAGCCGGGCAAGUCUUAACAAAGGUCUCACCACAAUCUUAAGAUGGUGACCGAGCGGCCGUUUUGCUGUGGGUUGGAGAAAAGCACCUGCAACGACGACCCUCACCCUUCACCUGCAGACCUGGAAUCUAACCGUUCUCUAUUUAUGAUGCCUCUUUUAUUGUAUAUUAAAGUCUUCUGUAGGAGCGCC